AUUGAACGCUGGCGGCAGGCCUAACACAUGCAAGUCGAGCGGAUGAGGGGAGCUUGCUCCUGGAUUCAGCGGCGGACGGGUGAGUAAUGCCUAGGAAUCUGCCUGGUAGUGGGGGAUAACGUCCGGAAACGGGCGCUAAUACCGCAUACGUCCUGAGGGAGAAAGUGGGGGAUCUUCGGACCUCACGCUAUCAGAUGAGCCUAGGUCGGAUUAGCUAGUUGGUGGGGUAAAGGCCUACCAAGGCGACGAUCCGUAACUGGUCUGAGAGGAUGAUCAGUCACACUGGAACUGAGACACGGUCCAGACUCCUACGGGAGGCAGCAGUGGGGAAUAUUGGACAAUGGGCGAAAGCCUGAUCCAGCCAUGCCGCGUGUGUGAAGAAGGUCUUCGGAUUGUAAAGCACUUUAAGUUGGAAGGAAGGGCAGUAAGUUAAUACCUUGCUGUUUUGACGAUACCAACAGAAUAAGCACCGGCUAACUUCGUG
rnacentral:rRNA from 1 species